AAACUACCAACCUGUUUUCCAAAGUGAUUAUAUCCUUUUACCUUCUUAGCUGCAGUGCAUUUGACGGUGAUUUAAUUGAUCUGAUUCUGCUUAAGAGCAAAAUCUGAGUUUAUUCAUCACUAGGAGUAUGCCAACCUUCUGUGGGCUCGUAUAUGUUUAACAGUGGGCAGGGCAGUUGCUUGUACCUGUAUCGCUAUGGCGACCAAAUCAGAAAUAACUUCUGGUUGUGCUGAGUCCUGUACUACAGAAGCCUUUCCCAGCUGCCAUGAACCCAGGUUUGGAAAACCCAUCUGUGUAGAGAGACUUCUUUCCUUCUGAAGGUACCUUCGAAUCUUCAUUACCUAAAUCGAAAGAAACAGAACUAAGCAAAGAU